rnacentral:rRNA from 1 species
UGUUCCCUACGGGGCGCAGCAGUGAGGAAUAUUGGUCAAUGGGCGGAAGCCUGAACCAGCCAAGUCGCGUGAGGGAAUAAGGCCCUACGGGGCGUAAACCUCUUUUGCCGGGGAGCAAGGGCCGGGACGCGUCCCGGCCCGGAGAGUACCCGGAGAAAAAGCAUCGGCUAACUCCGUGCCAGCAGCCGCGGUAAUACGGAGGAUGCGAGCGUUAUCCGGAUUUAUUGGGUUUAAAGGGUGCGUAGGCGGGCUUUUAAGUCAGCGGUAAAAAUUCGGGGCUAAACCCCGUCCGGCCGUGGAAACUG